CAGUAGCCGCGGUAAUACGUAGGGUGCAAGCGUUAAUCGGAAUUACUGGGCGUAAAGCGUGCGCAGGCGGUUUUGUAAGACAGAGGUGAAAUCCCCGGGCUCAACCUGGGAACUGCCUUUGUGACUGCAAGGCUAGAGUACGGCAGAGGGGGAUGGAAUUCCGCGUGUAGCAGUGAAAUGCGUAGAUAUGCGGAGGAACACCGAUGGCGAAGGCAAUCCCCUGGGCCUGUACUGACGCUCAUGCACGAAAGCGUGGGGAGCAAACAGGAUUAGAUACCCCCGUAGUCCCUGUCACUUAUAC
rnacentral:rRNA from 1 species